rnacentral:rRNA from 1 species
AUUGAACGCUGGCGGCAGGCUUAACACAUGCAAGUCGAGCGGAGUGAUGGUGCUUGCACUAUCACUUAGCGGCGGACGGGUGAGUAAUGCUUAGGAAUCUGCCUAUUAGUGGGGGACAACAUCUCGAAAGGGAUGCUAAUACCGCAUACGUCCUACGGGAGAAAGCAGGGGAUCACUUGUGACCUUGCGCUAAUAGAUGAGCCUAAGUCGGAUUAGCUAGUUGGUGGGGUAAAGGCCUACCAAGGCGACGAUCUGUAGCGGGUCUGAGAGGAUGAUCCGCCACACUGGGACUGAGACACGGCCCAGACUCCUACGGGAGGCAGCAGUGGGGAAUAUUGGACAAUGGGGGGAACCCUGAUCCAGCCAUGCCGCGUGUGUGAGGAAGGCCUUAUGGUUGUAAAGCACUUUAAGCGAGGAGGAGGCUCUUUUGGUUAAUACCCAAGAUGAGUGGACGUUACUCGCAGAAUAAGCACCGGCUAACUCUGUGCCAGCCGCCGGCGUAA